rnacentral:tmRNA from 1 species
GGGGGUGAAUUUAGGUUCGACACGGAUAGGAUGAGCAGUAGUAGCGAGCCGAGGUCUCCUGUGCCUCGUUAAACAGCGGGAACCUAAAUUUAAGAGCAAACGAUAAUUACGCUCUCGCUGCUGCCUAACUAGGCGGUAGCCAUCCGAACCGGUUUGGCCUACGGGCCGGCUAGGGUGUCAUUUGCAGUAGGCUUGCUGACUAGUGUUGCCCAUGGCUAGUUCAGGACACUUAAUGGGAUAGUUGCUCCAAGGAUCCUGCCUCUAGGAGCCGGAGCGAUGAAGCUGAAAUAUAGAGGAUACGCUCGUAGAAGCUAUUGUGGGUUCAUCCGUGGACAGCGGUGCAAAUCCGCUCACCUCCACCA